UACGUAGGUGGCAAGCGUUGUCCGGAUUUACUGGGCGUAAAGAGCGCGCCGGCGGUCGCUCAAGUCGCGUGUGAAAGCCCCCGGCUCAACUGGGGAGGGUCACGCGAUACUGAUCGACUGGAAGGCAGGAGAGGGUAGUGGAAUUCCCGGUGUAGUGGUGAAAUGCGUAGAUAUCGGGAGGAACACCGGUGGCGAAGGCGGUUCGCUGGGCCUGUACUGACGCUGAGGAGCGAAAGCGUGGGGAGCGAACAGG
rnacentral:rRNA from 1 species